UAUCACAAUAAUAUAUCCUCUCACCCAAAAGUUCCCCUUUCCUUCUCCAACCUGCAUUCAUCGUUGAACAAGCAAGACAAUCCCUCAGUCGGAGAACCAAGUCCAUUCCGUCACGCUUACACUAGCGACUGCCGGAGAUUCGUCGCACCCUUCACCUUGCAGCACUGCCACAGUUGUGGGAAAGUUGUACCUCGACUUGAUCGUGUGUCAACAGUAACUGACGGCUAUUGGACCAUCCGUCGCCCAGAUCUACACCACUGCUGACCAGAUCUACACAUCUCUGGCCUGUUUCCCCCAAACUACAAGGAUCCUUGUACCAAUCAGUUAGAGAAUCUCCAUGUAUGGAGUGUUGAUGCAAAUCAAUCUCACGCAGCUGGGGAAGGUGCGGUAGUAUAUAUAUAUAUAAAGUCAAGUUGUAGCCACUACUAGUUUAUAUAUAUAUAUAUGUAUACACACACUGACACACAUACAAUGUACCUACACUAGCUGUGAUUUCCUAAAUUGUUGUUUGGAGAGUGAAAAUUGAUAUGGCAAGUGUUCAGUGCUGCGAGAAUGUUCCGAUCCUCCUUGGCGCAAGCUGUGGAGCAAGACAUAUGGAGGACUUUUGAGGCCUCAAGACCUACAUUUCUGGUUCCCCUGAUUUGAAGCUUGGGAUCCUUAUUGUCUCCGAUGUUUUUCGUACUUUCCCUGUUGUAAUUUAUGUAUUUUUUCUUCGAUAGUUGAUUUGACCACUUGUUCAUUUGGUUUGUAAUUGAGUCUUUUUCCUUAAUUUCAUUGCAAUCGGUAUUGAGUCAUACAUUUAUGAUACAUAGCUCAUGUUUGUCUGUAUGUAACUGUACUUCAACUGGGUAUUUUUUUAUUAUCAUUUUUUUUAAUAGUUCUUACAUUUUUUUUACAAAAAAUAUAAUAUUUUAAGGAUAGUUUGGGAAGAACGUUUGUAGUCUAUUUUUUGGCCUUUUGUCUAAUUUAAUUAGCUCUGUUUGAGAAUUUUCUAUAUGUUUUUUAUUUUUUUUUGAGAGAAAAAAUAAAAUAAUUAUGAUUUAUGUUAUUGACUUAUUUAGUUUAUUUAAAUGAAAUUUAAUUGUCCCAAUUGAAUUUGUAACAAAUAGCUAAGCAGUAUUUUCACAUUUUCGGUACACACACUUGUUCACAUGUUCCUUAAUUGAUCAUCAUACACGAGUAGUACAACUUCAACAUGACAUGCGCUACAACAGUUCUAUGCAUUUUUUUCAAGUAACUGACAUGGCCUUCCAAUUGUGACGUUCACCAUACACUAGUAGCACUUAGUGUUGAACAUGGUCUUCCAAUUGAAGGCUGACAUCGUCAACCUGUAGCACGCAUUGCGUUUCCUACAAAUUGUGACAUUCGUCUUGUUUAUUGUUGUUGUAAUGUUGUGGUUCCACAGCCGUAGUUGAUUUGCUUCGGUUGUUAGGUUGUAUGUACUACCCACCUGCAUAUUUGUUUGUCGUUUUUGUACAAUGUAUCCAAUUCGUAUUUCAAAUGGUUAAGCAAUAUGCUAUUUUAUGUUAUUUGUUAUAUUCUUGUCCAUUAUGUUGCCAUCUUAUGAAUGCCCAUUUUACGUUUGUCAAAUACUUGCUUUUCCACGUAUACCACAAUUACUGUUGCAUUGUAGUAGGCAAAUGGAGCAGUUCCAAACGUAGUCGACGCCUUCCAAAACUUGACGUAAGCGCGGUAGUAAACAGACGCAGCAGCAGUCCGUAAAUGUGCAUAAAGCAGCUUGGGACUCUGACACAGUGCGGAUUUUCUUGCAACUUGUUAUCAAAGAGUUGGACUCUGGUUUCAAGGGGAGCUUCCAUACAAUGGCAAUGCAUGGAUAUAGAGCUGUCUGCAAGGCCUUCUAGGAGUGUACAAAUAAGGUCCAUGACGUCAAGCAAAUGCAAAACAAGUAUGCAUUGCUAAAAAAGGAUUGGCAGUCGUGGUCAUGACUGAUGGACAGUAGGCAUGGGCCAACCGGCAUAAGUUACAAUGAAGCGACGGGUUUGAUACAAGCAUCUGACGACUGGUGGGCGCAUUAUGAAAAUGUUUUUCCCAGGUUAACAAGAAUGCAAUAAAGUUCAAAACGAAACCGUUGGAGCACAUGGACCUCAUGUGAAGGGUGUACGAAGGCGCUACAACAAU